CGGCGCCACGAGUGGCAAUCACUAUUAUUGGGCCUAAAGCGUCCGUAGCUGGUUCUGUAAGUCUUUUGUGAAAUCGUCAGGCUUAACCUGACGGCGUGCUUAAGAUACUGCAGAACUUGGAAUCGGGAGGAGUUAGAGGUAUUCUGAGGGGAGCGGUAAAAUGCUAUAAUCCUCAGAGGACCACCUAUGGCGAAGGCAUCUAACUAGAACGAAUUCGACAGUGAGGGACGAAAGCCAGGGGAGCGAUCCGGAUUAGAUACCCGAGUAGUCC
rnacentral:rRNA from 1 species